UACAGAGGGGGCAAGCGUUGUUCGGAAUUACUGGGCGUAAAGGGCGCGUAGGCGGCCUGUUAAGUCGAACGUGAAAUCCCCGGGCUCAACCCGGGAACUGCGUCCGAUACUGGCAGGCUUGAAUUCGGGAGAGGGAUGUGGAAUUCCAGGUGUAGCGGUGAAAUGCGUAGAUAUCUGGAGGAACACCGGUGGCGAAGGCGGCAUCCUGGACCGAGAUUGACGCUGAUGCGCGAAAGCGUGGGGAGCAAACAGG
rnacentral:rRNA from 1 species